GCAGCUCCACGUCGACAUUCUUCCAGCUACAGACUGAACUGCACAGGGCUGAAAUAAUAGAAUAAGAGGUCAAAACGGCGUGAAUGCACCAAUACGAACACUGUAUGGAGGCUCCAAAGAGGGACGUUAACCGCGAAAUUAGGAAGUGGAAAAACUCUUGCUUGCUUUGAUAGUUUGUCCUGCAACCGUUGUAGAUAGGCCACUGGUUUUUGCAUUUUAUUAUCGGUUUGCCCUCGUGCUUGAUCGCAGCUGUUCCCCUUUAAGAGCUCCCGUUUCUACCAGGUGGAGUAGUGAAAAGGGUUGGCACUGUGGCUGUCCAAGUAAAGUUCUGUGAUACACUUUGACUCUAAUUGUUUGCAGUCAGUGCAUUACAGAACUUUAUUUUGGGAGUUAAUGCUCUGGGCCUGAGGGAAAUAAAUCUACCAUCUGGAGAGCGGGAGCAUUAUUCCACAACAUGGCCACUUGCAGACUUCAAUAGGGAAACUCCUUGUCACAAAUUUUUUUCUAAGAAUAAACUUUCUUUUGACAAUGA